rnacentral:rRNA from 1 species
UACAGGGGGUGCAAACGUUGCUCGGAAUCAUUGGGCGUAAAGCGCACGUAGGCGGUCUGUUAUGUCGGAUGUGAAAGCCCUUGGCUCAACUGAGGAAGUGCAUCCGAAACUGGCAGGCUAGAGUACGAAAGAGGAUCGCGGAAUUCCCGGUGUAGAGGUGAAAUUCGUAGAUAUCGGGAGGAACACCGGUGGCGAAGGCGGUUACCUGGAGCUUUGCUGACGCUGAUGCGCGAAAGCGUGGGGAGCGAUCCGG